GAAAGUUCAAGGAAUAAAGUGGGGACCGCUAUGCCAGUGGCUUUUCAUGCUCUUUCAGGCAAGCAUAUGGGGAUCUCCAAGGCUCACAAGUGCUUUGAGGUGUUUCUGUUCCUUCCCUCUUUUCUGCCAGCAAGUUUUUAGCAUCCCCAUUUUACUGGCGGGACAAACAUUCAACGUGAAGCUCUCCACGAAGACGGGAACAUGCUGUGAGGAACAGUCCUGUUGAGGCAGAAGGUUUUGGGGUACAAGGCAAAGACAAAGGUAAGAGUUGCUAUAUUGGGUAAAACGAAAUGGGCCAUGUUGCCCAGUAUCCUGUCUCUGAUGGUGCAGGAGCGGAUGCUUGAGAGGGGGAGCGUUGCACCGGGUGCAUCUGGAGCGAUCUGGCCUCUGUGCAUUACCCUCCCUAGCAUCCACCUUCAUCGGUGCA
rnacentral:lncRNA from 1 species